GGAGUUAGCGACAGGGAGGGAUGCGCGCCUGGGUGUAGUUGUGGGGGAGGAAGUGGCUAGCUCAGGGCUUCAGGGGACAGACAGGGAGAGAUGACUGAGUUAGAUGAGACGAGGGGGCGGGCUGGGGGUGCGAGAAGGAAGCUUGGCAAGGAGACUAGGUCUAGGGGGACCACAGUGGGGCAGGCUGCAUGGAAAAUAUCCGCAGGGUCCCCCAGGCAGAACAGCCACGCUCCAGGCCAGGCUGUCCCUACUGCCUGGUGGAGGGGGAACUUGACCUCUGGGAGGGCGCCGCUCUUGCAUAGCUGAGCGAGCCCGGGUGCGCUGGUCUGUGUGGAAGGAGGAAGGCAGGGAGAGGUAGAAGGGGUGGAGGAGUCAGGAGGAAUAGGCCGCAGCAGCCCUGGAAAUGAUCAGGAAGGCAGGCAGUGGGUGCAGGGCUGCAGGAGGGCCGGGAGGGCUAAUCUUCAACUUGUCCAUGCCAGCAGCCCCUUUUUUUCCAGACCAAGGGCUGUGAACCCGCCUGGGGAUGAGGCCUGGUCUUGUGGAACUGAACUUAGCUCGACGGGGCUGACCGCUCUGGCCCAGGGUGGUAUGUAAUUUUCGCUCGGCCUGGGACGGGGCCCAGGCCGGGCCCAGCCUGGUGGAGCGUCCAGGUCUGGGUGCGAAGCCAGGCCCCUGGGCGGAGGUGAGGGGUGGUCUGAGGAGUGAUGUGGAGUUAAGGCGCCAUCCUCACCGGUGACUGGUGCGGCACCUAGCAUGUUUGACAGGCGGGGACUGCGAGGCACGCUGCUCGGGUGUUGGGGACAACAUUGACCAACGCUUUAUUUUCCAGGUGGCAGUGCUCCUUUUGGACUUUUCUCUAGGUUUGGCGCUAAACUCUUCUUGUGAGCUCACUCCACCCCUUCUUCCUCCCUUUAACUUAUCCAUUCACUUAAAACAUUACCUGGUCAUCUGGUAAGCCCGGGACAGUAAGCCGAGUGGCUGUUGGAGUCGGUAUUGUUGGUAAUGGUGGAGGAAGAGAGGCCUUCCCGCUGAGGCUGGGGUGGGGCGGAUCGGUGUUGCUUGCCUGCAGAGAGGGUGGGGAGUGAAUGUGCACCCUUGGGUGGGCCUGCAGCCAUCCAGCUGAAAGUUACAAAAAUGCUUCAUGGACCGUGGUUUGUUACUAUAGUGUUCCUCAUGGCGAGCAGAUGGAACCGGGAGACAUGGAGUCCCUGGCCAGUGUGAGUCCUAGCAUUGCAGGAGGGGAGACCCUGGAGGAGAGAGCCCGCCUCAAUUGAUGCCUGCAGAUUGAAUUUCCAGAGGCUUAGGAGGAGGAAGUUCUCCAAUGUUCUGUUUCCAGGCCUUGCUCAGGAAGCCCUGUAUUCAGGAGGCUACCAUUUAAAGUUUGCAGAUGAGCUUAUGGGGGGCAAUCUUAAAAAGUCCACAGCAGAUGCAUCCGGCUCGAGGGGCCAUCAGCUUUGAAUAAAUGCUUGUUCCAGAGCCCAUGAAUGCCAGCAGGCACCCCUCCUUUCCUGGGGUAAAGGUUUUCAGAUGCUGCAUCUUCUAAAUUGAGCCUCCGGUCAUACUAGUUUUGUGCUUGGAACCUUGCUUCAAGAAGAUCCCUAAGCUGUAGAACAUUUUAACGUUGAUGCCACAACGCAGAUUGAUGCCUUGUAGAUGGAGCUUGCAGAUGGAGCCCCGUGACCUCUCACCUACCCACCUGUUUGCCUGCCUUCUUGUGCGUUUCUCGGAGAAGUUCUUAGCCUGAUGAAAUAACUUGGGGCGUUGAAGAGCUGUUUAAUUUUAAAUGCCUUAGACUGGGGAUAUAUUAGAGGAAGCAGAUUGUCAAAUUAAGGGUGUCAUUGUGUUGUGCUAAACGCUGGGAGGGUACAAGUUGGUCAUUCCUAAAUCUGUGUGUGAGAAAUGGCAGGUCUAGUUUGGGCAUUGUGAUUGCAUUGCAGAUUACUAGGAGAAGGGAAUGGUGGGUACACCGGUAGUGCUCUUUUGUUCUUGCUUCGUUUUUUUAAACUUGAACUUUACUUCGUUAGAUUUCAUAAUACUUUCUUGGCAUUCUAGUAAGAGGACCCUGAGGUGGGAGUUGUGGGGGACGGGGAGAAGGGGACAGCUUGGCACCGGUCCCGUGGGCGUUGCAGUGUGGGGGAUGGGGGUAUGCAGCUUGGCACUGGUACUGGGAGGGAUGAGGGUGAAGAAGGGGAGAGGGUUGGUUAGAGAUACAGUGUGGGUGGUGGGGGUGGUAGGAAAUGCAGGUUGAAGGGAAUUCUCUGGGGCUUUGGGGAAUUUAGUGCGUGGGUGAGCCAAGAAAAUACUAAUUAAUAAUAGUAAGUUGUUAGUGUUGGUUAAGUUGUUGCUUGGAAGUGAGAAGUUGCUUAGAAACUUUCCAAAGUGCUUAGAACUUUAAGUGCAAACAGACAAACUAACAAACAAAAAUUGUUUUGCUUUGCUACAAGGUGGGGAAGACUGAAGAAGUGUUAACUGAAAACAGGUGACACAGAGUCACCAGUUUUCCGAGAACCAAAGGGAGGGGUGUGUGAUGCCAUCUCACAGGCAGGGGAAAUGUCUUUACCAGCUUCCUCCUGGUGGCCAAGACAGCCUGUUUCAGAGGGUUGUUUUGUUUGGGGUGUGGGUGUUAUCAAGUGAAUUAGUCACUUGAAAGAUGGGCGUCAGACUUGCAUACGCAGGAAUUUAGUAUGUAAAUCGUGCCUUAGAAACACAUCUGUUGUCUUUUCUGUGUUUGGUCGAUAUUAAUAAUGGCAAAAUUUUUGCCUAUCUAGUAUCUUCAAAUUGUAGUCUUUGUAACAACCAAAUAACCUUUUGUGGUCACUGUAAAAUUAAUAUUUGGUAGACAGAAUCCAUGUACCUUUGCUAAGGUUAGAAUGAAUAAUUUAUUGUAUUUUUAAUUUGAAUGUUUGUGCUUUUUAAAUGAGCCAAGACUAGAGGGGAAACUAUCACCUAAAAUCAGUUUGGAAAACAAGACCUAAAAAGGGAAGGGGAUGGGGAUUGUGGGGAGAGAGUGGGCGAGGUGCCUUUACUACAUGUGUGAUCUGAAAACCCUGCUUGGUUCUGAGCUGCGUCUAUUGAAUUGGUAAAGUAAUACCAAUGGCUUUUUAUCAUUUCCUUCUUCCCUUUAAGUUUCACUUGAAAUUUUAAAAAUCAUGGUUAUUUUUAUCGUUGGGAUCUUUCUGUCUUCUGGGUUCCAUUUUUUAAAUGUUUAAAAAUAUGUUGACAUGGUAGUUCAGUUCUUAACCAAUGACUUGGGGAUGAUGCAAACAAUUACUGUCGUUGGGAUUUAGAGUGUAUUAGUCACGCAUGUAUGGGGAAGUAGUCUCGGGUAUGCUGUUGUGAAAUUGAAACUGUAAAAGUAGAUGGUUGAAAGUACUGGUAUGUUGCUCUGUAUGGUAAGAACUAAUUCUGUUACGUCAUGUACAUAAUUACUAAUCACUUUUCUUCCCCUUUACAGCACAAAUAAAGUUUGAGUUCUAAACUCAUUAGAAUUGUUGUAUUGCUAUGUUACAUUUCUCGACCCCUAUCACAUUGCCUUCAUAACGACUUUGGAUGUAUCUUCAUAUUGUAGAUUUAGGUCUAGAUUUGCUAGCUCCAAGUAAUUAAGGCCAUGUAGGAGAGCAUGGUAACCACAGAUAGAACUGGUAUUAUCCCAAGUGGUCUGCAGACUGCUGAGUGGGGAUGGGAUCUGCUCUCUGUUGAGAGUUGGUAAUCAUUGGUUUGAAAUGUGAUGAAACCACUCAAGCCAAUGAAGGUGGGUGUGUAGGUGGGGAGUACUUUGCCAUAAUAUUUUAAAACAUUACCUGGUUAGAGUUCUAAGUGGUACUUAUUUUUGUUUGGUUAGGGGAAAGCCUGAAUAAAAACAGAAAUGGACACAUAAUAUGCAUAUUCCAUAGUCUUUGGGAGGCUGGAAUGUGCCUGGGAUUUGGGUCUAAGUGUAUGCGUAAUUCUUACCUCACUAAAGAAUUUGCCUUGUUUUUUUCCUUUUGGUGAGUGACUAAAACGUCUGGGCUUCCCUGUGUGCGUGCUACAGUAAGCAAGCAGAGGCUGUGCAAAGGUGUGAGCAGGAUCACGUGGAAUCUGGAGGAUACAUCUUGGCUUGCAAACUGCCUCUGUCUCCUGGGUGGGACUGUUCUGUCCUUGCACUGCUGUUCUGUGUUACCUCUUGGGGUGUAAGGUUUUGCUUACAGGAGACAAACUUUGGGCGUAGAAUGGAAGCCACUGCCAGCCUCUGUGCUGAGAAGGAAGGUGCUUGUUUCAAAGGGAGCAGCAAGGGAGGCUUGUUCUACUCACCUGGGCCUGUUUGCCUGAGAAGGGGAGAUAAGGGCUGAACUGGGACUAGCCAGGGGGACCAACACAAAUGGUGGGGGAUCAUGACCUGAAGGAUUCUUUCCUUCCCAUGAGCUGCAGGGCUGGUUGCCGUCCUUGCAACUGUGUCUUAUUUGCCUGUGCCGUUAUAUCUUGGUGACCCCUCCACGUGUACACUACUGACAAACGGGUGGAGUGCUGGGGAGAAGUCACUGUGCCGCCCACCUAGUAAACCUUCUGUCUGUGCUCAUGGCAUCUCCAAGAUGGGGCACUGCUGUGUGCAGAAUCCAGGGUCCUCUUUCUGCUUGCAACUCCUUUCCCUGGAUGCCCCAGAAACAAUCCAGGCCUCCUUUCCUAUCUUACCCCUUUGCUUUGCUUUUUACCCCAGCACCUCUAUAACCGCCUUCUCUUCUUUUCAGAACUCCUUGUUUCUCGUCCUGUUUUUUAUGAUUACAAAACUCUUGCUUCCACCCUGGAAGAUAACUGCUAUAGAUGCCUGUAUGUAAAUGGUGCUGUCUCCAGCAACUGGCAUGCUGAAGAAGAAUUGAUUCACGGGGUAUAAAUGUUGGGGAUUGGAAGUGGGGAUGAAAUGGCACUUGUUGAUACAGGAGCAGAGAGGUGAGGCCGACUGCUGAAGACAGCUCGCCACCCUCCUUGCCUCCACUCCAAUCCAGGGGCUGGGGCCACAUUCUUUGCCUUCAUUUAUCCUCAGAUCAGGUGAGAUCGACAGGAGGUGUUGAUGGCAGUGCCAGCAAUUAUUGCUAAUCCGUUUGCAUCCUUAUGCAUAGAUCUGAAUUCAGACUUUGUGAAUUUCCAGAGGUGUGGGUAAUAUAAUAGAAUUCAGUGAGUGGGCAUGGCUGAUCUUGUGCAAAUUAAAAGUUAUGGGGCAUAAGAAUAGCAAAAGUUGAACUUCUUUUAAAAAGGAAAGUACCCUGAGAGCCAGUAUUGGUUGAGGCUCUUCAGUAUGCCCAGGUUGGCAGCACUGAGAACCGCAGGAACGGCCUGUUGUUACAAAAAGGAGAUUGACUCAGCUGCCCUUGGUGCAUCUGACUGACUAUGACUGCUGAGAGAUUCCAAGGACCCUUAAUGCCAGGGCUAACCUCUCCAUGUGCAGUGAGACCUCUGGAGGAAGUGUCAUCCUCUGGCUUUGUGUGGUACUCAUUAUGGUGCAGUGCGGGCAUGAAAUGAAGACACCCAAAUAGGCUUACAGAUACGAUAUGUUUUAAAUGUUCGUAUUUAACAAAAACAUACUGACACUGUUUGGAAAUGGCAACAGGAAGAUAGCAAAAUGAAUACUAACAUUACGAAAAGAUGAACAGGUACAUGUUCCAAGGCAGGUGGCUGUGAACUUCCUCUGAGUGAAGGCAUCCCCUCCAGCACCUUUCAGCCUGCUAGUUAGGACGACCCGCCGCCACCCUCCAGGACCUCCAGCCCUGCACUGCCUUUCCUCUCUUUUAAAUAAUUCUUCAUUGAGUUCUAAUAUGUAAAAAAAAAAAGUUUACUGUAAAGUUUGCAAAUAAGGAAAUUUUUUUUAAAAGUCCUCAGUAAUCUUACCAGUAACAAUUGUUAUGGGCACAUUUGCUUUUGGAAGAUUUCUUUUGUAUGCAUGGGAUAAGUACAUUUUUAAACAAAAAUGGGAUUAUGCCAUAAAUUCUAUUUUGUGACUUUAAUAUAUAGUGAACACCUUUUUUAAUGAUGACAGGAUGUUCCCUUGCAUGGCUGUAUCAAUUUAAACAAUCUUGUUUCAAUGGGCAUACAGGGUAUUUUCUAGUUUUUUUUUCCUCUUAGAAAAUAAUACUUGCGAUGACUUUCCUUGUAGCUCAGACUUUUUCACGUCUGUUGUUAUCUCUUUGGGAAUGCUGAAUACAUACAUUUCGAGAAGGAAAUGACUGUUAAACUCUUAAGACUUCAGGUUCAUAUUGCUAAACUGCCCAGCAGGGAGGGAUUUUUUCAAUUAGUGUUCUCACUGGUGAGGCAAACCUGAUGCCUUCCCCUCUUCCUCAGAACCGGCUUUAUCACAUUGAAAACCUUUGCUCCUCCGACGGAUCGAGUCUGCUUUCCCUCUGGAUGUGAGCAUUGCUUUGUCUGCUGGUGACUGAACAUCUCUACCUUGUGUCAAUUGGCCAUUUGUGGUGUGUGUGUGUGUGCGUGUGUGUGUGUGUGUGUGUGUAUGAUUUUCUAAUUCCUAGUCAUUUUUCUAUUGAUUGUUUUGCAAAAGCCAUUUACAUCUUAAGGAUAUUGAUAAUCUUUUGUUAUAUUUGAUGCAAAUAUUUUUUUCCAGUUUAUAGGUUGCCUUUUAAUUUUGUGUUUCAGGUAGAUAAAAGUUAAACGAUUUUCUUAGGUUAGUUUAUCACUGUGGUUUCUGAACUUGUUAUGUGUAGAUCUUUUCCACCCCAAGAGUACAUAAAUAUUAAUCCAUACUUUCUUAUGGAACUUGUAUGGUUUCGUUUUUUACAUUUAAACCUUCUUCCCCGUGGUGUGUGUUGUGGAAUCUGUGUUUGUGUGAGGAGGGGCAUGGUGCUCUCAGAACCCACCUCCUGUG
rnacentral:lncRNA from 1 species